UACGGGGGGCAAGCGUUGUUCGGAAUUACUGGGCGUAAAGGGCUCGUAGGCGGCCAACUAAGUCAGACGUGAAAUCCCAAGGCUCAACCUUGGAACUGCCUUUGAUACUGGGGAUCUCGAGUCCGGAAGAGGUUUGGUGGAACUGCGAGUGUAGAGGUGAAAUUCGUAGAUAUUCGCAAGAACACCAGUGGCGAAGGCGGCCAACUGGUCCGGUACUGACGCUGAGGUGCGAAAGCGUGGGGAGCAAACAGG
rnacentral:rRNA from 1 species